rnacentral:lncRNA from 10 species
GGUCGGCGCCACCGCGCCCCCGCAUCAGGAUCCUCGGCGCUGACGUUCUCUCCCCAGGGGGAGGAGGGGCCCAGGAAGGGUUAGGUCCGCAGCCAGUGCGGAGAAAGGGCCCUGGGCUCGGCUCCCACGCUCGGGCAGGCCUCCCGCCGGGGGAUCGGAGCUGCGGUCACUCGCGGCUUCGGGGCCGUGGCGUCCCGCGCACAGCUUCCGCGCCUCUGCAAGGCGGUCUGAAGAAAUGGAGGUGAACAGAGGAACAGCCACUCCCAGCAAGCAAGGGAAGAAGAAUCUUGAAAGCCUGUGACUUCACAGAGACUUCUUGAUUGAUGCCCCUGAAAUCAGCCUGCCAAGUGUGGCCUCUGCAGCAUAAAUACAAGGAGUCUGAUGA